UACGUAGGGUGCGAGCGUUAAUCGGAAUUACUGGGCGUAAAGCGUGCGCAGGCGGUUUGUUAAGACAGAUGUGAAAUCCCCGGGCUUAACCUGGGAACUGCAUUUGUGACUGGCAAGCUAGAGUAUGGCAGAGGGGGGUAGAAUUCCACGUGUAGCAGUGAAAUGCGUAGAGAUGUGGAGGAAUACCGAUGGCGAAGGCAGCCCCCUGGGAUAACACUGACGCUCAUGCACGAAAGCGUGGGGAGCAAACAGG
rnacentral:rRNA from 1 species